rnacentral:tRNA from 1 species
GGCCCAUUAGCUCAAUCAGUUGAGCACAGCGUAAACAACACUAAGGUCACGGGUUCGAUUCCCGUUUGGUCCC